UGCAAGUCGAGCGAACGGACGAGAAGCUUGCUUCUCUGAUGUUUGCGGCGGACGGGUGAGUAACACGUGGAUAACCUACCUAUAAGACUGGGAUAACUUCGGGAAACCGGAGCUAAUACCGGAUAAUAUUUUGAACCGCAUGGUUCAAAAGUGAAAGACGGUCUUGCUGUCACUUAUAGAUGGAUCCGCGCUGCAUUAGCUAGUUGGUAAGGUAACGGCUUACCAAGGCAACGAUGCAUAGCCGACCUGAGAGGGUGAUCGGCCACACUGGAACUGAGACACGGUCCAGACUCCUACGGGAGGCAGCAGUAGGGAAUCUUCCGCAAUGGGCGAAAGCCUGACGGAGCAACGCCGCGUGAGUGAUGAAGGUCUUCGGAUCGUAAAACUCUGUUAUUAGGGAAGAACAUAUGUGUAAGUAACUGUGCACAUCUUGACGGUACCUAAUCAGAAAGCCACGGCUAACUACGUGCCAGCAGCCGCGGUAAUACGUAGGUGGCAAGCGUUAUCCGGAAUUAUUGGGCGUAAAGCGCGCGUAGGCGGUUUUUUAAGUCUGAUGUGAAAGCCCACGGCUCAACCGUGGAGGGUCAUUGGAAACUGGAAAACUUGAGUGCAGAAGAGGAAAGUGGAAUUCCAUGUGUAGCGGUGAAAUGCGCAGAGAUAUGGAGGUACACCAGUGGCGAAGGCGACUUU
rnacentral:rRNA from 1 species